CAUAUCUCAGAAUAUGCAAUAUCGACUCAUAAAUUUGAAUAGCUUUUCCUUUUGUAUCAACUACACACAACACAAACUUUUUAAGGUCUUUCGAGUUGUAAUAGGGCUUGGGUUACGAUGUGUUUGUUCUAACAUACCAUUUCCCUUUCUUUUCUUUUUCAGUUUUGUUACUUAGUUCUUUUUUUUUCUUUGUUUUUUUAUACCCAACUGAGUGUUUCUCAUUCGGUGAGUGCUUUUCUCGUUCCAUCAAAUUUCUCUUUU
rnacentral:lncRNA from 1 species